UACAGGGGGUGCAAACGUUGCUCGGAAUUAUUGGGCGUAAAGCGCGCGUAGGCGGCUACCUAAGUCGGAUGUGAAAAGCCCCUGGCUUAACUGGGGAAGUGCACCCGAAACUGAGUAGCUAGAGUGCGAAAGAGGGUCGCGGAAUUCCCGGUGUAGAGGUGAAAAUUCGUAGAUAUGGGGAGGAACACCGGUGGCGAAGGGCGGCCACCUGGACGGUAACUGACGCUGAGACGCGAAAGCGUGGGGAGCAAACAGGG
rnacentral:rRNA from 1 species